rnacentral:rRNA from 1 species
AGAGUUUGAUCCUGGCUCAGAUUGAACGCUAGCGGGAUGCCUUACACAUGCAAGUCGAACGGCAGCGUGGUCUUCGGACUGACGGCGAGUGGCGAACGGGUGAGUAAUGUAUUGGAACGUACCCAGUAGCGGGGGAUAACUACGCGAAAGCGUAGCUAAUACCGCAUACGCCCUGAGGGGGAAAGCGGGGGAUCUUCGGACCUCGCACUAUUGGAGCGGCCAAUAUCGGAUUAGCUAGUUAGUGGGGUAAAGGCCUACCAAGGCGACGAUCCGUAGCUGGUUUGAGAGGACGACCAGCCACACUGGGACUGAGACACGGCCCAGACUCCUACGGGAGGCAGCAGUGGGGAAUUUUGGACAAUGGGGGCAACCCUGAUCCAGCCAUCCCGCGUGUGCGAUGAAGGCCUUCGGGUUGUAAAGCACUUUUGGCAGGAAAGAAAAGGGCCUGGUUAAUACCUGGGUCAAAUGACGGUACC